GGGGAAGGCCUUUGGCUUUGGCACUGCUGGGCCCUGAGGGGCAGGAACUCUGCACAACAGCGGAAUUGAAAAGGCUUAAGUUGGUGAUCUGGGCCCAGCACUGGCUGCAGAGCCCCACCACAGCCACAGCAGAGACCCUCCAUCCCUCCCAGGCAGCGUCACCACCCCUAGAGGUACUUGAGCCUGGAAUCAAAAGUGCUGAGAUAUACAGGAGAGGUGGAAACACAGCUGGUUUACAGUUACGCGUGUGGCAUACGUCAUCUCCAUUAAGUGAUGCCAUCUUCUUAUGACACCUCCAUGCCUUGCACACAGCCUGGCUUCUGAAGGCUGCCUGAAUUUUCUGCAAUUCCUACCAACCCAGCAGUGCAGUCACCUCAUGCUCAGGAACCUGUCACCAGUAAUUUUUCUGUGGAACAGAGGAAAUGAACUGGCAGGCAGUCAUGACUGUCUUGUGCUCUUCAUGACCCCACACAGAAGAUGGCAAAGAAGGCCAGAAAGCGCUGCUGGGAUGCUGCUGCCAUCCUGGCUGUGUAAGGUGCAUGGUGGAGGCAGAACCUGGGCUGGUUGAGCUUGGGAGCUGUGGCUGCAGCUGGUCUGCUGCUUCCAGGAACACCAACCAGUGCUGUGUGGCAGAACUUUGCAAAUUGUGAAGACAGUUUUCUUCUGUGACCAGAAGUGGAAUUUCAUCUCACUUGGCUUUCUCUUCCUUGGUAUUUGUGAUGCAGUUCCAGUAUUAUCUGUGGUAAAGCAGGAAGGUAAGAGGCAGCGUGUUUCAGACCUCCAGUGAAGUGCACGAAGAGCCUGGAGCAGGCAUAUUCCUGCUGUGGCUGCCUGUGAGUUUGCUAGGCCU